rnacentral:misc_RNA from 1 species
GAAAUGCGAUAAGUAAUGUGAAUUGCAGAAUUCAGUGAAUCAUCGAAUCUUUGAACGCACAUUGCGCCCGCCAGUAUUCUGGCGGGCAUGCCUGUCCGAGCGUCAUUUCAACCAUCAAGCCCCCGGGCUUGUGUUGGGGACCUGCGGCUACCCGCAGGCCCUGAAAAACAGUGGCGGGCUCGCUGUCACACCGAGCGUAGUAGCAAUCACCUCGCUCAGGGCGUGCUGCGGGUUCCGGCCGUUAAACAGCCUUACAAAACCCAAGGUUGACCUCGGAUCAGGUAGGAAGACCCGCUGAACUUAAGC